UACGAAGGGGGCUAGCGUUGUUCGGAUUUACUGGGCGUAAAGCGCACGUAGGCGGAUCGAUCAGUCAGGGGUGAAAUCCCAGGGCUCAACCCUGGAACUGCCUUUGAUACUGUCGAUCUGGAGUAUGGAAGAGGUGAGUGGAAUUCCGAGUGUAGAGGUGAAAUUCGUAGAUAUUAGGGAAGAACACCGGAUGGCGAAGGCGGCGACCUGGUCCGACACUGACGC
rnacentral:rRNA from 1 species